rnacentral:rRNA from 1 species
AUGGGCUCACUGCAGCGUGCCAGCAGCGGCGGCGACAUGGCGACGGAGCUGGAGAAGCAAGGCAGCGAUCAGGGCGAGACGUCAUUGUCGUCGGCGCGGGUGCGGCUUCUGGAGCGAGAGGUGGCGGUGGCGAAGCAGACGGAGGCGAGGAUGCUGGAGUCCCUGAUCCACCGGACCAAGGAGCUGGAGCAAGCCAAGGUCGCGCUCCAGGAGGCCAAGCUCGAGGCCGCCACGCUGCGGCAGGGCGCCGGGCCCGCGCAGGGGCAGUGGAGCGUCAUGGACCUCAUGUUCGGCGGCGUCGACGAGGAGAUCAACGGGCUGAGGGGCAGCCUCCGGUCGGCGCUGGCCGCCGAGGAGAGGAGCCGGACGGCGGCGGACGACCUCGCCGCCGCGCUCUCCGCCGUCACCUCGGAGGCCAAGCAGGUGAAGGCGUGGCUGUCUGACGCGCAGGCCGAGCUGGAGCGCGCCAACGCCGAGGCCGGCCGCCUCGAGGGCCUGCUGCGCGCCGCCGAGGCGGACCUGCGGUCGGCGACCGAGCAGCUCGACGGCGUCAUGUCGGAGUGGAAGGAGGCCGCGGCCGCGUGGCGCGCAAGGGAGAAGGCGAUGCUCGGACGCGCCCACGCGGCCGAGGAGGACGCCGACGGUGCCCGGCGUGAGAACGCCGAGCUGGCCGAGCUGCACCGGGCGGCCGGCCACGAGAACGGCGGCCUGCGGCGCGCGCUGGAGCGAGCGGUGGAGGAGGCCAACGCGGCCAACGAGUCCCUCGAGUUCGCGGGCAGCGAGAACUCGAAGCUCCGCGACGCCAUCGCCGAGAAAGAGCGCGCCAUGGGGUCCCUGAGGCUGGAGAACGAGUCGCUCAAGGCCAGCGAGGCUGCCGCGCAGGGGCGUGCCGUGGAUCUAAGCAACCAGCUCACGGCGGCAACCCAAAAUGCGGCCGCUGCCGCCGAUGGAGGCACGGGCGGUGGAGAGAAGGCAGCGGCGGGGCUGCUACUGGAGAAGUGGAAAGCCGACGCGCAGGGGAAGCUCGGUGCGGCAGCGUUCCUGGACUCCGGCAGGGUGAUGGCCGCGGGCCGGAAGGAUCGGAUGUUCGCGUCCAUCAGCAACCUCGCGGAGCUGAGGUCCGCGGCGGCGGCGGCGGCCAUGGACGAUUACGACUACGAGUUCGACCACUUCGAUGGCGGAAGACAGUACGGUGGCUUGGAGCAUGCCAUGAAGCACAAGAAGAGGAGGUCCGUUCUGCGCAAAUUCGGUGAUUUUUUUAGGAGGAGAAGCCUGCACAAGUCAGACUUUGCGCCGGUUCUAUAG